GACGUACGCGUAUGUCCGAUACCGUUUUUCAUGGAUUCCUAGACAGCUUGGACGCCUCCAUGAACUGGAGAACUCGUAAGGCUGCGUAAAACCAAGCCUGGAACUGAGCUCACCAGAAAAGAUCUGGCCAAUCCUUGUAUCCAUCCUGGAUCCAUCCUAGCUAAUGGAGGGGGCACUUACCGGCCACGUGACGGGUGAUGUACUCAAGGGUGACGGGAUCCUCGACCGUCAGUUUAUGGGACUGGCAUUCCACUCGGCCUUGAUUGAUCAAAAUCCGCGCAUCGGCCGUCAAACCCGCAAAAGCCAACAUGACGUGAUCGUCCAAGAGGCAAAUCUUCUGAACCGUCCGCUCUUCCUGCAACUUGG